rnacentral:lncRNA from 1 species
CUUUAUGCUAAGUGCCGUGCCUGUACAUAUAGUACAUAUAUAUGUACUAUACCUGUACAUAUAGUACCUGUACAAACGUACGUGUGGACGAAGCUUCCUUUGUUACCGCGUGGACACACUUUAUCGUCUCCUCGAUCUUAUCGCCCAACAAAACAAUCGACAUCACGCUCCAGAUUUUGUUAUAUCGUGCACAAAUAGUCCACACCUUAAGAAAAAAAAAAUGUCUGAGCUAGCUCACCUUGUUUGUUGGACCGGGCAAUAUUUGGUACAUAUCGUACACAAAUAGAUAACCUUAAAAACAAUGUUUACUCUGGUCACCUAGAUUGUUGGACCAGGGAAUAUUCGAGUCAAAUAUAUAAUUACAUGCACAAAUUAAAUUUAACAGUUCGAUUGGCCACUUGCCAUGGUUUUUUCCUGAGGUCAAGCAACCAACUCAUGGGCUUAGAUGCUAGUGGGGUAUUUUUUUGCUAGAUAUAAAUUGUUAGAGAAAUAGUCGAGGAUAAGUCCAUUCGAGUUUUUUAGACCAAUUGCACAAGGUCUCUCCCAAUGCGUAAUUGAGUUUUUUGGAUUAGUUGCUCGUGUCCUAUAUGGAUUCGCAAUUGACUUUUUUUUUUGCUUAGUUGCACAUCAGCUCUUUUGAUGCGUAAUUUAGUGUUUCAGAAGCGAAUCGUUCAUUAAGCCUCUUGAUGUGCAAUUGUUUUUUUUGUUAGUUGCACAUCACCUCCCUCGAUACACAAUUUAGUAUUUUUUGAACGUGAUCGAAUUGCACAUUAAUUAAGCUUCUUUUUGGUAAGUUGCACAUUAAGCCUUUUGAUGUGCAAUUGUGUUUUUUUUGGUUGAGUUGAAUAUCACCUCCGCUGAUUUGCGAUUUAGAUUUUUUUUUGCAAGAGUUAGACAUUACGACUCUUGUUGUGCAAAUGAGUUGCACAUGACUGAUGCUUUGCACAUUACCUCUCCUAAUGUGCAAUUUAUUUAUUUUUUUCUCGAGGAGUUUUGCAUUUUUUUUUAAAAGAAAAUUGUAAGGGAGACCCUACAGUAUAAAUAAGAACCUAAAUUCGCAUUCGUGAGGACUUGAACACAGGUGUUGGGAUUUUACAUCCAUUCCCCCAACCAAGUGAGCUGGGCCCACUUCCUCGAGAGUUGCGCAUUAAGACUCUUGAUGUGUAGUUGUGUAUUUUGGUAUGAGUUGAACAUGACUGAGAUUUAAUGAUAUUUUUUAAGUGAAUUGCAAAUUAUCUCUAGUAACGUGCAUUUUAUUUUUUGGGUGAGUUGCACAUUAAGUAUACAAAUGUGCAAUUGAGUUAUUUUAAUUGUGAUUUGUGCAUGACUGAGAUUCAAAUGUAUUUCUUCACGACUGAGACUUAAGAGUACCUUUUUCAGAUGAAUUGCACAUCAUCUCUACUAAUGUGCAAUUGAGUUUUGCGCGUGAGUUGCAGAUGACCGAGAUUUAACAAAUUUUCUUAUUUAUCGGCAAUUUUAUUUCUGUGAGUUUUACUAAAUCUCAGUGGCAUGAGAUUUUUUUUUAUUGCUCAGAUGAUUUUAUAGUCGUUAGAUUCACCUUAUAUUAAGGUUCGUCCGAACUUUGUACUACAUUAUGUGUGCCUGUGGUAAAACAGGUUAGAUACGUGGGCUUUAUUUAUCUGUAUUGGGUCCCAAUUCUCCAUUUUUCUUAUUGCACAAUCCAACACGGCGGUAGCACAAGUAAUAUUCGGGUUUUUUUUGAAAAGGAGGGCAUCCCGGCCUCUACAUCGAUCGAUGCACACGACAACAUGUAACAUAUAUACGUGCAUUUCUAAUAAUAGAAAUGUAAAACUUAUGUAUUUUUCAAUCAGAAAAAAGAAAGAUGCCCGAAAUGUAAAACUUAUGUAAUUUUCAAUCAGAAAAAAGAAAGAUGCCCACACAUAAAUGGAGCUGACCAGCUAAUCAUUUUUCUUGGAAUAUACCUAACGCCAGUCAACACAAACAUACACGGGACACGC